rnacentral:ncRNA from 2 species
AUCUUAUCAAGAGCGUUGGAGGGUACUGGCCCGAUAAUAACGCAGCAACCGGUCUAUUUAGAUACGGUGCUAAUUCCAGCAGAGGGUUACCUUCUGGCAGAUGAGAA